rnacentral:lncRNA from 1 species
CAACUCGGUUCAUUGACCUACAAAUGCCAGCUUCUCUUGAAUGUUUUCCAUCUCUUUCCCAGACCAUCCACAGUUGGCAGCCAAGCUUUGCAAGUUUUAUUUCCGAAAUGCUUCUCAACUUCUUUCUAGGUACAGAAGACCACCUGCACCAUCUCUUGCUGGGUGAGAGCCACUCUCUGCAGACGUAGUCACAGCUGGUAUUUCACCAGCAGAUGCCAUGAUUCAAUUCCACCAUAAUGACAUUGGGUAGUCUUUGUCAACUCUCCUGCUUGUCAGAAGGAUGUAAAAACACUUCAGAAACAUACUGGAAAUCUUCAUGAGUACCCUAUGAAGAAGGUUUUAUUUUAUCAUCG